rnacentral:rRNA from 1 species
UACGAAGGGGGCUAGCGUUGCUCGGAAUCACUGGGCGUAAAGCGCACGUAGGCGGAUCUUUAAGUCAGGGGUGAAAUCCUGGAGCUCAACUCCAGAACUGCCUUUGAUACUGGGGAUCUCGAGUCCGGAAGAGGUGAGUGGAACUCCGAGUGUAGAGGUGAAAUUCGUAGAUAUUCGCAAGAACACCAGUGGCGAAGGCGGCUCACUGGCCCGUAACUGACGCUGAGGCACGAAAGCGUGGGGAGCAAACAGG